CGCCUCGCUUUUCUUUGGGUUCUCAUCGGGUUUUGCUGUGGAUGCAGCAGCUGCGGCGGGUUUCACGGAUGCUGCUGGACCACCUUUUGCUGAUGCUUGACGCUUGAUCUUGGGGGAAACAGGAUUGGUCUCCUGAGCUUGCUGUGCCAUUGCUGCUUGCCGAGGAGCAAUAGAUGCUGCUCUGCGCAUAACGGGCUGCGCUUGUUUUUGUGGUUGCUG
rnacentral:lncRNA from 1 species